rnacentral:rRNA from 1 species
AUUGAACGCUGGCGGCAUGCCUUACACAUGCAAGUCGAACGGUAACGGGUCCUUCGGGAUGCCGACGAGUGGCGAACGGGUGCGUAAUAUAUCGGAACGUGCCCAGUAGUGGGGGAUAACUGCUGGAAAGAGCAGUUAAUAACGCAUACGACCUGAGGAUGAAAGGGGGGGAUCGCAGAAACACCCGCUAGUGGAGCGGCCGGGAUCAGAUUAGCUAGUGGGUGGGGUAAAGGUCUACCAAGGCAACGAUCUGUAGUUGGUCUGAGAGGACGACCAGCCACACUGGGACUGAGACACGGCCCAGACUCCUACGGGAGGCAGCAGUGGGGAAUUUUGGACAAUGGGCGCAAGCCUGAUCCAGCAAUGCCGCGUGCAGGAAGAAGGCCUUCGGGUUGUAAACUGCUUUUGUCAGGGAAGAAAUCUUCUGGGCUAAUACCCCGGGAGGAUGACGGUACCUGAAGAAUAAGCACCGGCUAACUUCGUGCCAGCCGCCGCAGUAA